rnacentral:pre_miRNA from 1 species
GUUGAGGGGAAUGUUGUCUGGUUCGAAGUCAUUCAUAUGAUCAUGAAACGCAAGCAGCUAGCAUGCAUCAUUGAAUUGAAUGAUUUCGGACCAGGCUUCAUUCCCCCCAAC